ensembl:lncRNA
AAAAGCUGGGCCUGGGUUCCCACAGAUGGAAGAGCCAGUGGGAAGGCAUUAGGAGGGGAGCACACAGAAAUGGAUACCAUCCACCAUUGCCCAGAGGAGUUGGGCUGAGAUUGUGUGAGACACAUUUCUAACAUCCUGCCUACCUCACCACUUAAACUGGGAGUUUUUGUCUGCUGGAAGCAAAGUGACACUAGCAAAUGCCUAGUUGUUUUGUGUUGGUUUUUUUUUUUCUAACCAUGUCAGAUUUCGUGUACUUGUGAGUUUCACAGCAGGGCUGAAUCCUCAGGGGGACACCUGAGCUGGGAUCCCGCAAGGCUUCAGCCAAGUCAAGGGCUGCACCACCACACACGUCACACUGUGCAAGGGAACCAGGGCGCUGCACAGGAACCGUGGAGACUACUUGGAAUUCAAGUUCUGAUUUUUUGCCCUUUCAUGUCUCAGGACGUUCUGAGCAUCACCAGUCCCUGAGCCAGGCCAUACCUAUGCAGCCCUCCUACCAUCCUGGGAUAAGAGGGAUACAGAGGAUGAAUAAUUCAGCUGCAAAUCAGCUCUCCAACUGCAUUUUUUUUUCCCCUAGGUAUCUAUUUUUAAUUUAGAUACUCCCACACGUGUUUUUGGUAGAUUAGAGACAAGAGAAAUAAGAGAAGAAGGCUCUGACGCAGGCAGGAAAUAGAGCCUGGGGGCGGUGGAGGUUGAACUGCACUGGCCUGCCUGGAGCAGGGCUGGUGUGACCCUCCUGCAAAGGACAACGUGGUCCUGUGAGGGGCUGAGCACCCC